CUCCUGAGUGACUCAUGCAUUAUUUAUGUUCUGGGUGGAUAUCUAGUAGGCACUUAAUUCCCUCCUGUGCUGAAACCUCCUGUCCCCGUUUUCUGUGGAUUACGGUAUUCUGUCUCUGCCCGUGCCCUGUGGGGGAGAGGAGAGAGGGGGAGAUGUAGAGCGAGAGAGACAAAAGAGGAGCGCAGAUUGUAACAUACCCACACUGACUGACUGCCUUUUUCCCCUCCCAGCUCCAUUCCAGCAUCAGAAACGUGCAUCAUUUUGUCCCUGCAGUGCCGAUGGUGACUUGUAACCAAACCAUUUGCGCGGUAGACUCUCCUCCUGAGUGAUGCUGAAGAAGAGCUCUGGGCCGCGGCUUGAUGACGGAGAGUGUCUCCUGAUGUGCGCUGCGUGGACGGGGAGCAGGCGGCAGCGGCAGCUACGGCAGCCUACAGAACGCAGCUACAUCCCCCGUCGAUACUUUUCAGCCUCGGCCAAUAAUGAGGUCUCAGAGGAUGAUGCUGAUGAGGAGGAGGAGGAGGAGGAGGAGGAAGAACCCAUCCGUGUUCCUAGCGAUAGGAAGAUUCCCCAGCAGCCACCACUAAGGCCCGGGAAAUUACUUCAAGGAUGGACGCACCA